UGAGGAAUAUUGGUCAAUGGGCGGAAGCCUGAACCAGCCAAGUCGCGUGAGGGAAUAAGGCCCUACGGGUCGUAAACCUCUUUUGCCGGGGAGCAAGGGCCGGGACGAGUCCCGGCCCGGAGAGUACCCGGAGAAAAAGCAUCGGCUAACUCCGUGCCAGCAGCCGCGGUAAUACGGAGGAUGCGAGCGUUAUCCGGAUUUAUUGGGUUUAAAGGGUGCGUAGGCGGGCUUUUAAGUCAGCGGUAAAAAUUCGGGGCUCAACCCCGUCCGGCCGUUGAAACUGGGGGCCUUGAGUGGGCGAGAAGAAGGCGGAAUGCGUGGUGUAGCGGUGAAAUGCAUAGAUAUCACGCAGAACCCCGAUUGCGAAGGCAGCCUUCCGGCGCCCUACUGACGCUGAGGCACGAAAGUGCGGGGAUCGAACAGG
rnacentral:rRNA from 1 species